AUGCGGCGACGCAGAGCGGAACCCGAAAACCUGUCUCAGUUCGGAUUGGAGUCUGCAACCCGACUCCAUGAAGCUGGAUUCGCUAGUAAUCGCGCAUCAGCCACGGCGCGGUGAAUACGUUCCCGGGCCUUGUACACACCGCCCGUCAAGCCAUGGAAGCCGGGAGUGCCUGAAGUGCGUGAGCGCAAGCAGCGCCCUAAGGUAAAACCGGUGACUGGGGCUAAGUCGUAACAAGGUAUC
rnacentral:rRNA from 1 species